AGAGUUUGAUUCUGGCUCAGAACGAACGCUGGCAGCGUGGAUUAGGCAUGCAAGUCGAACGGCGGCGGGGAGUAGCAAUACGACCCGCCGUAGUGGCGGAAGGGCGAGUAAUGCAUGGGCAAUCUGCCCUCAAGCUGGGGAUAACUUGGCGAAAGUCGAGCUAAUACCGAAUGCGGCCCCGGGGGACAUCCCCCGGACGCCAAAGACGGGGAUCCGCAAGGACCUGUCGCUUGGGGAGGAGCCCAUGUGCCAUCAGCUAGUUGGCGGGGUAACGGCCCACCAAGGCUUACGGCUAGCUGGUCUGAGAGGACGACCAGCCGCACUGGGACUGAGAUACUGCCCAGACUCCUACGGGAGGCUGCAGUCGAGGAUCAUUCGCAAUGGGCGCAAGCCUGACGAUGCGACGCUGCGUGGAGGACGAAGGCCUUCGGGUCGUAAACUCCUGUCAUGAGGGAAAAAGGUCUUCCGGGCUAACAUCCCGGGAGCUCGAUGGUACUUCAAGAGGAAGCCACGGCUAACUCUGUGCCAGCAGCCGCGGUAAUACAGAGGUGGCGAGCGUUGUUCGGAUUUACUGGGCGUAAAGGGCGCGUAGGCCGUUGCGUGUGUCGAGUGUGAAAUCCCCGGGCUCAACCCGGGAAGUGCGCUCGAAACUGCGCGACUUGAGCAGAGGAGGGGAGAGCGGAAUUCAUGGUGUAGCGGUGAAAUGCGUUGAUAUCAUGAGGAACACCGGUGGCGAAGGCGGCUCUCUGGAAUCUUGCUGACGCUGAGGCGCGAAAGUCGGGGGAGCAAACAGGAUUAGAUACCCUGGUAGUCCCGACCGUAAACGGUGCACACUGGGCGUGGGGGGUAUUCACCCCCUCCGUGCCGCAGCUAACGUGUUAAGUGUGCCGCCUGGGGAGUACGGCCGCAAGGCUAAAACUCAAAGAAAUUGACGGGGGCCCGCACAAGCGGAGGAGCAUGUGGCUUAAUUCGAUGCAACGCGAAGAACCUUACCUGGGUUUGACAUGUACCUGCACGUCCCGUGAAAGCGGGAUUCCUUCGAGGGUGGUACACAGGUGCUGCAUGGCUGUCGUCAGUUCGUGCCGUGAGGUGUUUGGUUAAGUCCAGCAACGAACGCAACCCCUGUGCUUAAUUGCCAGCGCGUAAUGGCGGGCUCUUUAAGCAGACUGCCUGUUUACACAGGAGGAAGGUGGGGACGACGUCAAGUCAGUAUGGCCCUUACAUCCAGGGCUGCACACGUGCUACAAUGGCCGGUACAAAGGGACGCAAGACCGCGAGGUGGAGCAAAUCCCCAGAGCCGGCCCCAGUUCAGAUUGCAGUCUGCAACCCGACUGCAUGAAGUUGGAUUCGCUAGUAACGGCGCAUCAGCUACGGCGCCGUGAAUACGUUCCCGGGCCUUGUACACACCGCCCGUCACAUCAUGAAAGCA
rnacentral:rRNA from 1 species